GAAAUGCGAAAAGUCGUGUGAAUUGCAGAAUCGUGAGACAUCGACUCUUUGAACGCAGCUUGCACUCUACAGUCACAAUCUGAAGAGUACACCUGUUUGAGGUCGGACGGAAAUCGAAACAGCGCGAGUUCGCUCGUGGUUGAUUCGGAGAUGAGCUCUUCAUGACCGCGUGCGCGCGUGAUGCGUCGUGGUAGCUCGCAAUUGAGUCAUCGAGACUUUGCACAUGUUUUGGUAUAAUGACACGACGAAUCGUUUCUUUGCCGAACAACGUGUGGAUGGAGUCGCGAUGGAUACGUUUGAAAGUUUUGAACCCAGACCUCAAAUCAGGUGGGAAGACCCGCUGAACUUAA
rnacentral:misc_RNA from 1 species